rnacentral:lncRNA from 1 species
CCCCCCCCCCCCCUCCCCCCUUUCAAGUCUUCUUCUUCAGAACUUUCUUAGAACACCCAACAAUGGGAACCUUCAGUAGCACCAAAUCAACACAAGCCAUGCCACCUUCACAAAAUCAGUAGCGUUGCAUUUGGACAAAACCAAACGACACCCCCCUCCCCAACGUCUCUCCUUCUUCUUUCACACACAUGUAAGCCCAUUUGAUUCCCAAAUUUGCCGGGAACCAGCCCUGAAAAGCCACGAAAAUCGGCCAAUUAUUCCAGUUUUGGAACGCAAUCAAACAGCCACAGAACCCAUCGAAACACCAACUCGAGAUUUCCAGCCCAUGGUCGAGUUUCUGUCGUCAUUCGCGAUUCCGUUCGAGGUCUUUGGGUCCCUAAUCCAGUUGAGGUAAUUUUCUAGUGCGUUUCUGUUUUCUUACUCUGCUUUGAUGUGAUUGAGAGCAAAUUACAGUAAUAGAGAUCUAUCUCAUUACAGUUUACAUAGUUGUUUGAACAUUUUGAGCGAUUUCCUUGUUUAAUGUUGUUGGAUAUGCUAUAAUUUGUUCUGUUAAUUAGUCUGCUAGUUUUGUUAGUUUCCUGUGCUUUUGUUUGAAAUUAGCUUAAAAUCUCUAAAAAUGUUGAGUUACUUGUUAUUUUAUGAAUUAACAAUUGUUCACUUAAAUUAAAUUAGGAAGAGCAAAUAAAUGGGUUGUUGGGUAGUUUAACGUAUUUGCCUUCUCUCUAAAUUUGUCUAAUUUUCUCCAGUUCAUUUACGCUACAUUCUAUUCCCCCUCACAAUUUUC